CAGAAGCCAGAAACUAGAAGUCUGAAAGUCACAAAAGAAGAAAACUAGAAGACAGAAACCCUAGCUCCCCCAAUCUGAUUUCGAUGUGGAUGUCGAUGUUGCGAGAGAAGGCGAUUGCUUGUUUCUAUCUUGCGGCGGUAGGUGCUUCUGGAUUCGGGACAGGUCUUCUGACAACAAAUCACAUGGCGAAACCCCUUAAGGAGUACGAAAAGAGACUCGUGGAAAUAAGAAAAGGGUUGGAUGAGGAAGUCUCGACCUUUCCCGAGAACCAGCUAGCAAAAGAAGACUGAAACUUUCUAGAUCAAAUAAUUGUGUGUAAUUCAGUAAUAUGUUUUGAGGUUCCAUAUGCUUAAGGGAUACCUUCUUUUAUCAUUCUUACUUUGUGUUGAACCAAAUCCUACUCUUUUACAAUUCUAAAAAAGAGCUUGUUUGUUUCUU